UCAAUGGGAAAUCAAUUAAGGUCAAGUGGGGUAAGAGAAACAUACUUUACUGGUUUGUGAACAUUUUGGCCUUCAGCUAUCAAAAUUAUACAUUUAUUUCGAUAUUAAUUGAAACAAAUCUUCGCUUUUGAAAUAUACUAACAUUUUUUUUGAUACAGAACUAGAUUGUUCGUAUAAU